UGAUGAAGGCUGCCUGUGCCCACUUCAGCAGAGGAAUGCAGAUAACAUGGACCCUCCCUCCUCGACUGACUGGCUGCUGGGUACAGAGCAUACUCUCUAGGAAAAAGAAAGGCUUUUGCUCUUCAUUUCCUUGUCUCUUCUACUCACCAUCUGAGAGUACAGCUGGGUAUGUGAUCCCACAGCAGAGUAUUUGAUCCCUGAAUGUGAUCCCACAGCAGAGAUACAGCAUGGAAGAUAUUUUGGACCAGAGAAUGCAUUAUGUACUCUGCUCUGCUUCUGUAUUGGGAUGUAAGGGCAGGCUUGAUGAUACCAGCUUCAUCAGUAAAUGCUCCUUGGUCACCUCACUGGCUGCA